GUUUUAGUAUAUAGCCUUUUGUAAUAAUUGUUUGCUUCUUUUAAUAUUUUAUCUUGCUCACUGAUAGUGUCCCCUUUUUCAUUGACUAAUUUUGGAAUAGUUUUAUUUAUAAAAUGUUUAGUUUCUAAAUUUAGAAAAAAGUUUGAAGGUUUUUCUCCUUCUUCUAUCCAUUGGAUUUUGGAUCUGAUGUAGGACCCCCUCAUCUUUUCUUGUCUUAAUACUUUUAGAUCAGUUUUCUUUUUUUCAGUUUCAAUAAAUAUUUCUUCUGUCAAUAUUUGUUCUUCUAGUUUUUUAAUAUCUUCUGAUAGUAUUCUUUCUUUUUUAUCUUUUUGUUUCUUCCUAAAAGAA
rnacentral:lncRNA from 1 species